UGGGGAAUAUUGCACAAUGGACGAAAGUCUGAUGCAGCAACGCCGCGUGGAGGAUGACACAUUUCGGUGCGUAAACUCCUUUUAUAUAGGAAGAUAAUGACGGUACUAUAUGAAUAAGCACCGGCUAACUCCGUGCCAGCAGCCGCGGUAAUACGGAGGGUGCAAGCGUUACUCGGAAUCACUGGGCGUAAAGAGCGUGUAGGCGGGUAAAUAAGUCAGAAGUGAAAUCCAAUAGCUCAACUAUUGAACUGCUUUUGAAACUGUAUACCUAGAAUGUGGGAGAGGCAGAUGGAAUUUCUGGUGUAGGGGUAAAAUCCGUAGAGAUCAGAAGGAAUACCGAUUGCGAAGGCGAUCUGCUGGAACAUUAUUGACGCUGAGACGCGAAAGCGUGGGGAGCAAACAGGAUUAGAUACCCU
rnacentral:rRNA from 1 species